GCUAUGAUUGCACCACGGCACUCCAGCCUGAAUGAGAAUUGAUUUCUAUAAUUAUAUGGAAGCAUGUGAAAACCCUACCAUUUCCAAGGAUCUGACCAACAAUUACAGCAGGAAAUGUGGUCAUCUAAUUUAACUCUUAAACAUCAUCAGCAAGACUAAAAGCUUGGAUGCAUCCCAAUUAUCCCCACAAAUUAAUGGUCAGACAUUCUGGAUUUUCAUGGUUUUGGCUUCAGAAAAUUCUAAGUCUAGAAAGCAGCUGUUUCUAUGGGUAUCCCAAAGAAGAAAACUGCUACAUGAAACAAGAGCAAACUGUGGUCUCAUCUGCACAUUUGCAGAGUAGCAUCAGAUCCAUGGAGAUGCUGCUCACUGAAAAAGUAACACCCAUUGUGUUGGACCUCACCUACGUGACCUUUCCGGGGCAUAGUCUGGAAGGACAUGGAAAAUUAAAAGAGAAGUUAAACACUGCACAAUUAAGUGAGAAGAACUUUGAAUCUCAAUGAAUAACUCAGGCAAGACAAUAGGAAGAGAAUGGAGAUAAGGAGAAGGUAUGAGCUACAAGAAGGAAGGUCAGCCCUCCGCCAAACCAGCAAGAUAUUCCCUGUGGUGAAGAAUGGCUGAUGAAUUUCAGCACAAAGCUAUCUAAUGUUCAGUUUCAAGUUGCUAUCUACAUGAUGCUAUGCCAUCAUCCCUCCAUUACUGCAAAGCUUCAGUAAAAGAGAGAAAGAAAGUUAACAGCAGAAAUGAGGAGCAAUAUUUAGGAAGCAUAACGGGGCAUAAAGACAUGUAAACUCUACAAAAUUACACAGGGCUUAGGAGGAGAACUCAGCUUUCAGUUUGAUGGUGAAAUAUUAGUUAAACACAUCAUCCCCAAAGGGAUGUAUUUGCAUCUUCUAUGAACGAUGAUGGAAACAGUCUCAGUUUAUCAGCAAGAUGGCUGAGGAUGCACUUACCUAAAUGAGCAAUGAAGAUUCAUCUGCUACAGCUGAACUGUAUUUGCAUAGGCUAACUUAUUGAGAAGGAAAAUUCUGGAAUAUAAAGGAGAGAAGGCUGAAAAGUGAAGGGUGCAACCUAAGACUCUGACCAGUGACUAGGAGUUUUCCAGAGGAGGAAGAACGGGAAAGGCAUUUCAGGAAAAGGCCAGCAUGAACACGCAUAUGAAGCUGCACGCAGGUGCAGAAAAAGGGAGUGGCAGCCUAUUUUUUCUGACUGUAAAAUGGACUACAAGAGAAAAUUCCUGCUCAGAGGGUGCCCUCUCUUGGUAAGCGUGCACAUGCAGUGUUUCUCUCC
rnacentral:lncRNA from 1 species